ACACCUGUCUAAGCACCAGAACUCCUCUCUCUCUCCUUGAUUCUUAUCCUUAUCCCUUCAUUAGCUUAACUUCAUUUAACUCUUUUCUUCUUUUCUCUCAGCCCUAGAGGUAGGCUGAAGCAAAGGGAGCUAAGGGAGUUGUUGUGCUGAGUGAUUUCUUGGUAUUUGAGUGGAGAGAGAGAGAGAGAGAGAGAGAGAGAGAGAGAGAGGAAGCAAAUAAAGGGGAGUAUUUUUACUGCUGGAAUUGAAGCAGCAAACUUGGAGGUUGGCAUCCUGGAGGCCUGCGGGCUGAGGAGGAAGGCCUAAACUGAGCUGAAUUCCGGCUGAUAGGAGUUGCUGUGUAAAUUAGUUCAGCAUCCAAUUAGAAAGACUGAAGUUGGGACUUGUGGAGCUGCUGGAUUAGGACUGCAGCUAAGGAAAGCUUUGAUGCAAAAUUCUGAUGGCUAAAGCUGAAAACAAAUUGAAGGAAUACCCAGUUAAGGACUUAUAAUUAAGAGAAUUAGUGGCAGCCUUGAUGUUUUGAGUUGCCGAGUCAACAUCUCGGGUGAGUGGACCAGAGAGCUAGCCAGGAGAAUACUUUAAGUAAGAAGUAGCAGAAUUGGAACUUCGAGCAGAUUGAAGUUAUCAAAUUGGGAUUUCAGCUGAAGGAAAUUGGGAAGAUAAGGAAUUGAAAAAGGAAAAGAGAGUGUGGUGCUGAAAUUUCAGCGAGCAGUCAUCAUGAUGCAGAAUCCAUUGUAAGCUGAAAUCAAGUUGGUUAAGCAAUGAAUUAAGAUUUCAUUAGUUGAAAUCAUUACUGCUGGGGAAGCAAAGUAGAGAAUUGCUGUUUGGUAGACUUCUAAGCACCCAAAUUAAGAAGAAGUUUAGUGAAGCUUCAAAUCUGGUUCCAGUGCGAGUGCUGUGGUCGAGGAUCGCGGCAAGAGCCCAGCAGUUUAGCUAGCUGACACCAGAAUAUAGUUGUUUACCAUUUUGAGAUCAUGUAUCAUCUAUUUUGAUGUACCGAGACAUGUAAAUGAAUGUAUUAUAAAGCAUGUAAAUAACUAAAUGUUUCAGUUAUUUAGUUACGUAAAGUUCAGUUUAAAAGUUUUAAA